GCAAAACGCGAAGAACCUUACCCACCUUUGACAUGUACGGAAUCCUUUAGAGAUAGAGGAGUGCUCGAAAGAGAGCCGUAACACAGGUGCUGCAUGGCUGUCGUCAGCUCGUGUCGUGAGAUGUUGGGUUAAGUCCCGCAACGAGCGCAACCCUUGCCAUUAGUUGCUACAUUUAGUUGAGCACUCUAAUGGGACUGCCGGUGACAAACCGGAGGAAGGUGGGGAUGACGUCAAGUCCUCAUGGCCCUUAUAGGUGGGGCUACACACGUCAUACAAUGGCUGGUACAAAGGGUUGCCAACCCGCGAGGGGGAGCUAAUCCCAUAAAGCCAGUCGUAGUCCGGAUCGCAGUCUGCAACUCGACUGCGUGAAGUCGGAAUCGCUAGUAAUCGUGGAUCAGAAUGUCACGGUGAAUACGUUCCCGGGUC
rnacentral:rRNA from 1 species